rnacentral:rRNA from 1 species
CCUACGGGAGGCAGCAGUGGGGAAUAUUGCACAAUGUGCGCAAGCCUGAUGCAGCCAUGCCGCGUGUGUGAAGAAGGCCUUCGGGUUGUAAAGCACUUUCAGCGGGGAGGAAGGCGGUGAGGUUAAUAACCUCAUCGAUUGACGUUACCCGCAGAAGAAGCACCGGCUAACUCCGUGCCAGCAGCCGCGGUAAUACGGAGGGUGCAAGCGUUAAUCGGAAUUACUGGGCGUAAGGCGCACGCAGGCGGUCUGUCAAGUCGGAUGUGAAAUCCCCGGGCUCAACCUGGGAACUGCAUUCGAAACUGGCAGGCUAGAGUCUUGUAGAGGGGGGUAGAAUUCCAGGUGUAGCGGUGAAAUGCGUAGAGAUCUGGAGGAAUACCGGUGGCGAAGGCGGCCACCUGGACAAAGACUGACGCUCAGGUGCGAAAGCGUGGGGAGCAAACAGGAUUAGAUACCCUAGUAGUC